rnacentral:lncRNA from 1 species
GUUUUUUAGCAUUAGACACCAAAAAGAAGCAUCUAUAGGAAUUCAUCCAGUUGAAAUAGUGUCUAGUAUUUGUAACCACUGUAAUAAUCACUAGAACUCCAUGACAAUAUAACUUCUUCAGCUGCUUUCUUUGACAAGUUUGUUACAUAAUUUGCAGAUAAAUUGGCUCUGGUCUGAUGAAGUAAGCUGUAGCAGUCAUUAGAAUUUUAUCUUCAUUUGGAAUCUGUUUGGUUUCUGAUUAGGAUUAUUUUUUUAUUUUUUUUUUUACCAUUUUUUCCAGGUUCCAUACAGAUCUGGCCCAGAAGCAGAACUUCAGCUCCAGAAAAGAGAUAAGAUUUUGAAAGGGAAAUUAUUGCAAAUCAAGUCAAUAACUCCUCCCAGACAGACAAUAUUUUCAUAGAGCUGCAAUUCCACAAUAUUUGGUUCGAGAAACAAAACAGCAUCACUACUACAGGGACAGAUUCAUAUUUCCAAGCCAAAAUGUGCUCCAUAUGUGAUGGCAUGUGCAGCUGGUGCAGAGCUCCAGAGCUACAGCUUGCUGACCCUAGCUAGUUAGCUGCCCCAUAGCCAAAUAACCCACCCACCAGAAAGGCAUCUGGUCAGAAGUGGUCUCCCAGGGAAGUCUUCACUUGCUGUUGAGUGGACUUCAUCUUUGCUGUCCAGACAGAAUGAUGUGGACAGGCAUCUUCCACAGAAAGAAUUGCCAAGCAGAUGUCCUUCCUCAAACCACCUUUUACAAACAGCCUUGCAGAGUAAGCCCUGUUUCAUGAACCCAAAUGAAAUUACAGAAUGGCAGGAAGGAGGAGUCAUUUAUCACAUGAAGAUACUGGCAGAAACAAGGAGGAACAGUGAGUCAGAGGGCAGGUAAGACACAUAAACUCAUUUGGGGAACAUUCCCUGUGUUGCAGAUUUACGAUCCAUCAGUCUAAGCUCUCCUUUGUAUGAACAAAAGUCCAAGAUCGGUUAUUUAGUACAUUAUUUGCCAUAUUUUUUUGCAAAACUUAUUUUAGCCAUCUUUUAUCUGAGGACAGACCACAACAAUAUAAAAAACAAGGUAGAGCAGAACAAUGGGGAAGGUAACUUAUUCUGCAGCCCCUAGAUUUGUUAUCACAAGCUGCUUCUUCAUUUAACAUCUCCACUAUGCCUUUCUCCAUAAAGCAUUAUGUUUUUGCUCUGAAUUAAAACUGAACUAUUUGCUGUUUGAUGUGAAGGCUUUUUUUUUACAGAUUAUUUAAGGCACAAUUUCUGUUUAUGGUCCCAGGGUACAUUCUAAUCACCUUUGUUUACCUCAUAUUCCUUUCCUAAUUAACUGACAACCUAUUAGCAUACUUUUUUUUUUCCCCAGGAGUAUUAAUUAUACAUAAUUUAUAUCAUAAGCAUUUAUUCCUUAUCAGUCAGCUGAAUAAAACAUUUACCUGUUUAUAGCUACUUGAGGUU